GGGUUUAGGGUUUAGUGUUUAGGGUUUGGGGUUUGGGGGUUAGGGUUGGGGUUUGGGGUUUGGUUUUUGAGGUUUAAGGAUUAUAAAUUAUAAUUUAAGCAGGUUUAAAACGCGAAUUUAUUUAUUUUUAAAUGUAUUACUCUCUCAUUUAUUAUUAUUAUUUUUUCCAUUUUAUAACUUUGGUUUUAAUUUUGGAUCAAUUUAACUUCAAUCUUGGAUGACAGUAUUUUUACAACUCACGUGCUAGUAUAGUUG
rnacentral:lncRNA from 1 species